AAAGAGAGACAGAGGCUUAGCGUGCAAGAGAGAGAAAGAGAGAGAGAGAGAGCGAGAGAGAGAGAGAGAGAGAGAGAGAGAGAGAGAGAGAGAGAGCCGAAGUCUAGCUGGUGUUGACUUUGAGGUUCUUCAUGCGGUGCAGCAGCGAGUCCUUCUCCAUCUGAGCCUCGGCCAGCGCCAUCUUGGUUCGGGACA